rnacentral:rRNA from 1 species
GACGAACGCUGGCGGCGUGCCUAAUACAUGCCAGUCGAACGCAUUUUCUUUCACCGUAGCUUGCUACACCGAAAGAAAAUGAGUGGCGAACGGGUGAGUAACACGUGGGUAACCUGCCCAUCAGCGGGGGAUAACACUUGGAAACAGGUGCUAAUACCGCAUAAUUCCAUUUACCGCAUGGUAGAUGGAUGAAAGGCGCUUUUGCGUCACUGAUGGAUGGACCCGCGGUGCAUUAGCUAGUUGGUGGGGUAACGGCCUACCAAGGCUGCGAUGCAUAGCCGACCUGAGAGGGUGAUCGGCCACACUGGGACUGAGACACGGCCCAGACUCCUACGGGAGGCAGCAGUAGGGAAGCUUCGGCAAUGGACGCAAGUCUGACCGAGCAACGCCGCGUGAGUGAAGAAGGGUUUCGGAUCGUAAAACUCUGUUGUUAGAGAAGAACAAGGAUGAGAGUGGAAAGUUCAUCCCUUGACGGUAUCUAAACAGAAAGCCACGGCUAACUACGUG